GCAGGUACAGAGGGAANCCAACUCGCGAGAGGGANCUAAUCCCAGNAAACCUGUCGUAGUCCGGAUUGGAGUCUNCAACUCGACUCCAUGAAGUCGGAAUCGCUAGUAAUCGCAGAUCAGCAUUGCUGCGGUGAAUACGUUCCCGGGUCUUGUACACACCGCCCGUCACACCAUGGAAGUGUAUUGCACCAGAAGCAGGUAGCCUGNCCGCAAGGAGGGCGCCUACCACGGUGUGGUCCAUGACUGGGGUGAAGUCGUAACAAGGUAACC
rnacentral:rRNA from 1 species